UACAGAGGUGGCAAGCGUUGUUCGGAAUUACUGGGCGUAAAGGGCGAGUAGGUGGCCAUCUAAGUCAGAUGUGAAAUCCCCGGGCUUAACCUGGGAAUGGCAUUUGGGACUGCAAGGCUUGAGUGCGGCAGAGGAGACUAGAAUUCCUGGUGUAGCAGUGAAAUGCGUAGAUAUCAGGAGGAAUACCGAUGGCGAAGGCAGGUCUCUGGGCUGACACUGACGCUCAUGCACGAAAGCGUGGGGAGCAAACAGG
rnacentral:rRNA from 1 species